rnacentral:rRNA from 1 species
UACGUAGGGUGCGAGCGUUGUCCGGAAUUAUUGGGCGUAAAGAGCUCGUAGGCGGUCUGUCGCGUCGGUCGUGAAAACUUGGGGCUUAACCCUGAGCUUGCGGUCGAUACGGGCAUGACUGGAGUUCGGCAGGGGAGACUGGAAUUCCUGGUGUAGCGGUGAAAUGCGUAGAUAUCGGGAGGAACACCAGUGGCGAAGGCGGGUCUCUGGACAGUUCCUGACGCUGAGGCACGAAGGUCAGGGGAGCAAACGGG